ACUCUAGUCUGGCACUGUGAAGAGACAUCAGAAGUGUAGAAUAAAUAGGAAGCCCCACAGUAGUGUAACUCAAGACAUGGAUCAGUUGCCAGUGAAAUACUACUGGCCAUUUUCUCCACUUACAGAGCGAGGCUGGGGGGAGAGAAGGGGGAGCCCCAAAGGGCUCUUGCAGCUGAUGCCAAGUGCCUGGCACAACCUGGUCCAGGGACAGUGUCAGGUGAGGAGUUUGACUGGGGCAAUACACCUGUCAACCUGUCACACAGAUGACCAAAGGCAAGCUCAGCUAGGACAGAAACCUCCUGCAGAGCAGAAGAUCAAGGCUUAGCCUUAUUUUUCAGUACAAAUAUUGUCCAUGAAAGAGGGGCCUCACAAUCCUUCUGACUAAAAGCCUUUUGGGUUUUAAGCAGGCAUCCAGGAG
rnacentral:ncRNA from 1 species